rnacentral:misc_RNA from 1 species
GAUGAAGAACGCAGUGAAAUGCGAUAAGUAAUGCGAAUUGCAGAAUUCAGUGAAUCAUCGAAUCUUUGAACGCACAUUGCGCCCGCCAGUAUUCUGGCGGGCAUGCCUGUUCGAGCGUCAUUACAACCCUCAGGCCCCCGGGCCUGGCGUUGGGGAUCGGCGGAGCCCCCCGUGGGCACACGCCGUCCCCCAAAUGCAGUGGCGGUCCCGCCGCAGCUUCCAUCGCGUAGUAGCUAACACCUCGCGACUGGAGAGCGGCGCGGCCACGCCGUAAAACACCCGACUCUUCUGAAGUUGACCUCGAAUCAGGUAGGAAUACCCGCUGAACUUAAGCAUAUCAAUAAGCGGAGGA